rnacentral:rRNA from 1 species
GCGUUAAUCGGAAUUACUGGGCGUAAAUCGUGCGUAGGCGGUUCGCUGUGUCCGAUGUGAAAGCCCCGGGCUUAACCUGGGAAUGGCAUUGGAAACUGGCGGGCUUGAGUGUGGCAGAGGGGGGUGGAAUUCCGCGUGUAGCAGUGAAAUGCGUAGAGAUGCGGAGGAACACCGAUGGCGAAGGCAGCCCCCUGGGUUAUCACUGACGCUCAGGCACGAAAGCGUGGGGAGCAAACAGG